CUCAAAGCGUGAUAACAGUUGGGCCUGGCCUAGACUUGGGGUUCGGGAAGGCCUGUCAGGGGAGACGAUGCUGCACAGAAGCAGGAAGAGUCCCAGAAGAGGGAAAGUGGGAAGGGCUAACAAAACCCAGGAUGCUGGAACAUAAAAAAUGGGUGAGUCACACAAGAGGAACCCCAAAAUAGCCCAAGCUGGAUGAUGCAGAGCUUCAAAAGUCACAGUAAGGAUUUGGAGUUUAGUGCUCGUGUCCUGGGAAGCUAGAGAAGGGCUUUUCAGGGACGAGAUAUGAGCUGAGAGAGAUGUUAAGUGGUGCCAGAGAAGAGUGGUGUGACAAAGAUGUGACACCCUGACAUCAUUCUUACCGAGGGUUCUUACCACAAAGCAGGGCAGGGAGGUGCUGGGGUGAGACCCCAGUCUCCUGGCAUUUAGUUCCAUGCUCUUUGACUUUUACUUCUCUGCCCAUGAGUUAAAGUGCUCACAAAAAUCCAGGCAAAACUUUUCAUUUAAACAUGUUGGAUUGCCAUGCAUUUGUUUUUCCCUGCCCCAGAAAUGUCUGUGCAGAAAUAAAAAUACAACAAAUUCACAGAGGAAAAAAAUAGAAGAUAAAACUUUUUUUAAAAGAGGAAAUAAAUAAUAAAAUAAAAAUGUUGAUAAUGAAAAAUGGAUGAGAGAAGAUAACUCGGUUGACAGAAUGGAGGAGGAGGAAACACAUGUGUCCACAAAAAGAAAAACAAAGUGGGAGGCGAAAGAAAAGCAAGCUGAUGUCCCACAACAGGCUCCUGGAAAUGCUCAAAAUUGAGGGUAGAUGUCUCCUUUUAAAAACAGCAGGACCACCUAAAAGUCUGUAUAAAGAAAAUUUCCAUCCCAAGUUGCCCUUUCUCCACUAAAUGGCAGGUGGAAGGUUCCUUCUCAGGAGAAAUUGAACCAGAGAGUCUCUUGGAGUGGCAGACGACAUAGAUGGGAGGAGGAGGUGCCCUCUGAAGCCUUCAGUCAGCAGAGGGAUGGCACUGCCCCUUCAGACUUUCUGAGACAUCAGAAGAGUUCUAUGUGAUUCACAUAGAGCAGAGUUCGGCGUUGCAGACAAAUCAAAGGCCUACCACAAAUUUGACUUAAUGAAUCACUUUGACUUUGUUACUGAGUUUACUCAUCUAUUGAACAAGAGGAGAACAGAUCUCUGACUGCUGAAGUAUAAAUACAAACAACGGAGUCAAAUUGGAAAUAGGAUAA